rnacentral:rRNA from 1 species
UACGUAGGGUGCGAGCGUUAAUCGGAAUUACUGGGCGUAAAGCGUGCGCAGGCGGUUCGUGAUGUCUGGUGUGAAAGCCCCCGGGCUUAACCUGGGAAUUGCGAUGGAGACUGCAAGGCUAGAAUCUGGCAGAGGGGGGUAGAAUUCCACGUGUAGCAGUGAAAUGCGUAGAGAUGUGGAGGAACACCGAUGGCGAAGGCAGCCCCCUGGGUCAAGAUUGACGCUCAUGCACGAAAGCGUGGGGAGCAAACAGG